GUUGCCAGUUCAGUGUGUGUUGCAUUGUUACACAAGGGUUUCACCAAAGGGCACAAAAUGAAUCGCAUUCAACGCCACUGUCUCCCUCAACGUGUGUAAUUGAUGACGCUUCGUACUAUCGUACUCCAAUAGAAACAAUACUCCUAAAUGAGGAAAAUCCUUGCGCCGGGAAUUGAUUAUUCGCUCUUUGAAUUUUUUUAAUGCAA